AGGAGGAAGCUCAAGUUUUCUUCAAUUUGUCACAUUGGAGCUGCAUUGUGUUUCGAUUUGGUGCAUCAAGAGUUGGAUAGGAAGAGUUUGCAGCUCAUUUCAAGCUUGUUGUAAGAGCAAACUUCACUUUAUUAUUUGCCUCAACUUCAACUUUCACAAAACUAUCCUAAAAUGUCUACUUCAGCUUCUAGACCCCCCAUGAGAAAGGACCCUGCUUGGAAAUAUCAUGAGGAUUUUCCAGGGCAAGGAAAGGGGCAAACAAAAUGUAUGUUUUGCAAAACAAUAUUCCAUGGAGGUAUAUAUAGGCUGAAAUACCAUAUUGCUGGUGUGCGUGGACAUGAUGUCGAACCAUGCCUAAAACCAGUCUCUGAGGCCAUACGUGAUUGUUAUGUAAUGGUUGAGGAGAUUGAAAGAAAAAAGAAACAAAAGGAGGAUCGAGCGGCCAUUGGGAGAGAGACAGUUUUAGGAAGAGGGACACAGUUAGGUUGUGUUGGAGGCCCUUCUUCCUUACCUCCAUAUCGUCCCACUCAGUUUGCUACUGCUGGUGCUUCCGUUUCUGCUUCUGCUUCUAUAAGUGGCAGUGCCACCGCCACUUCUCAUGCUCCUACCACUAGUAGUCAUAGUGGGAAUGUUACCAUUGGACCUAGGAUUCGUAAAUCUAGGUUGGAUUCCUUCUUUGUGCCUCGCACUACUCCUGGGUCCCAACCGUCGCUUGAGGGCAUGGGUUGGAACAAGGAGGUCCAUGAUGCUGCUAAAAUGGCAAUUGGCAAGUUUUGGAGCUACAGCUGUAUUCCAUUCUUUGUAGCCAGGUGAAUGUUUUACUAACUUUUAUGUUUGAUAACUUUGAUUGUUUUAAUUUUUAUACUUAUCUCAUUGAAUUUUUAUACUUAACUUAUCUCAUUGAGUUUCUUUGCGACAGGUCUCCUUAUUGGCAACAAAUGGUUGACGCCAUUACCAUAUGCGGGGCGGGGUUCAAAGCCCCUAGUGAGAGUGAUUUGAGGGGACCCAUUUUGUCUCAAAUGGUGGAUGAUGUGAAAAAGGAUUUAGAUGAACAACGCCACAUAUGGAGCACUAAAGGUUGCACCAUCAUGACUGAUGGUUGGACGGAUAGGAGAAAUAGAACUCUCCUUAAUUUUCUUGUUUCUUCCGUAGGGGGCACCGUUUUCAUCAAGUCCAUUGAUGCCUCCGCCCAUUGCAAGAAUGCCACCUACCUAUGUGAGUAGAUAGAGGAGGUGAUUGAAGAUGUGGGUGAGGAGAACGUGGUACAGGUGGUGACCGACAAUGCAGCAAAUUAUGUUG